UACGAAGGGGGCUAGCGUUGUUCGGAAUCACUGGGCGUAAAGGGCGCGUAGGCGGCCGAUCAAGUCGGGGGUGAAAGCCUGUGGCUCAACCACAGAAUUGCCUUCGAUACUGGUUGGCUUGAGACCGGAAGAGGUAAGUGGAACUGCGAGUGUAGAGGUGAAAUUCGUAGAUAUUCGCAAGAACACCAGUGGCGAAGGCGGCUUACUGGUCCGGUUCUGACGCUGAGGCGCGAAAGCGUGGGGAGCAACAGG
rnacentral:rRNA from 1 species